UUGAGCCUUGUGUUCAGAUCUCUCUUGAGCCUUGUGUCCAGGUCUCUCUUGAGCCUUGUGUCCAGGUCUCUCUUGGGCCUUGUGUCCAGGUCUCUCUUGGGCCUUGUGUUCAGAUCUCUCUUGGGCCUUGUGUCCUGGUCUCUCUUGGGCCUUGUGUUCAGAUCUCUCUUGAGCCUUGUGUCCUGGUCUCUCUUGAGCCUUGUGUCCUGGUCUCUCUUGAGCCUUGUGUCCAGGUCUCUCUUGAGACUUGUGUCCAGGUCUCUCUUGAGCCUUGUGUUCAGAUCUCUCUUGAGCCUUGUGUCCAGAUCUCUCUUGAGCCUUGUGUUCAGAUCUCUCUUGGGCCUUGUGUCCAGGUCUCUCUUGGGCCUUGUGUCCAGGUCUCUCUUGAGCCUUGUGUCCAGGUCUCUCUUGAGCCUUGUGUCCAGGUCUCUCUUGAGCCUUGUGUCCUGGUCUCUCUUGAGCCUUGUGUUCAGAUCUCUCUUGGGCCUUGUGUCCUGGUCUCUCUUGAGCCUUGUGUCCAGGUCACGCUUGAGCCUUGUGUCCAGGUCACGCUUGAGCCUUGUGUCCAGGUCUCUCUUGAGCCUUGUGUCCUGGUCUCUCUUGAGCCUUGUAUCGAGGUCUCUCUUGAGCCUUGUGUCCAGGUCUCUCUUGAGCCUUGUGUCCAGGUCUCCCUUGAGUCCAUGUCUCUUGUGAUAGAAAAAGUACAUAUUUACCUGAUUUGUUUGAUAUUAAUAGUUAACGGUUAUGUACUUAACAAAAAGUAGGACAUUUAUGUUCUGUUUAAUUAUGUGUUUCUGUUAAGAGAUGGUUUCCACUCUAGCUUCCUGCAGUUUGUCUGGGCAUAUGUUCAAGGAAAUUAGAUUUUGCUAGAGAUAGAUUGAGCUGACAAUGACUUGGUGAUUUAAAACCUAAAGCUGGCAUUCCAUAGACAAGAUGUGGUAUGUGUGACUCGAGAUAGCCUGGAAGAGUUUAGAACAAUGCCUCAUUGUCUCAUCGUCCUGGCAUCUGGGUGACAAAGCCGGGUUGGGGUAAAACAACACCCCAUGCAGACAACCAGGAGACUGAGCAGCCAGACCAGUCAGUAAGACGGACCAGCCAGACCAGUCAGUAAGACGGACCAGCCUGACCAGUCAGUAAGACGGACCAGCCUGACCAGUCAGUAAGACCAGUCAG